GUGGGGAAUUUUCCGCAAUGGGCGAAAGCCUGACGGAGCAAUACCGCGUGAGGGAGGAAGGCUCUUGGGUUGUAAACCUCUUUUCUCAGGGAAGAACAGAAUGACGGUACCUGAGGAAUAAGCAUCGGCUAACUCCGUGCCAGCAGCCGCGGUAAUACGGAGGAUGCAAGCGUUAUCCGGAAUGAUUGGGCGUAAAGAGUCCGUAGGUGGCAUUGAAAGUCUGCUGUUAAAGAGUCUAGCUCAACUAGAUAAGAGCAGUGGAAACUACAAAGCUAGAGUUUGGUCGGGGCAGAAGGAAUUCCUGGUGUAGCGGUGAAAUGCGUAGAGAUCAGGAAGAACACCGGUGGCGAAGGCGUUCUGCUAGGCCGAGACUGACACUGAGGGACGAAAGCUAGGGGAGCGAAUGGGAUUAGAAACCCUUGUAGUCC
rnacentral:rRNA from 1 species